rnacentral:rRNA from 1 species
GACGUAGGGCGCGAGCGUUGUCCGGAUUUAUUGGGCGUAAAGAGCUCGUAGGCGGCUAAGUAAGUCGGGUGUGAAAACUCCAGGCUCAACCUGGAGACGCCACCCGAUACUGCUUUGGCUAGAGUCCGGUAGGGGAGCAUGGAAUUCCUGGUGUAGCGGCGAAAUGCGCAGAUAUCAGGAAGAACACCCGUGGCGAAGGCGGCUCUCUGGGACGGUACUGACGCUGAGACGCGAAAGCGUGGGGAGCGAACAGG